rnacentral:rRNA from 1 species
GGUCUGAAAAAAGCCCAAUGCAAAAUUAGUACAGCAGUGGGGAAUUUUGGUCAAUGGCCUAACGGCUGAACUGGCAAUUUGGGGAAACGAAACAGAAUUGUAUUUUACCAAAAUAAAGUUUUAAGUACGUAUUAAUAAUGAUAAUAUGUAUAAAAGUCUUGACCAAUUACGUGCCAGCGGUCGCGGUAAUACGUAGGAGACGAGGAUUAUUCAUAUUAAAUAGGUUUAAAGGGUACCCAAACGGUCAAAAUACCUUAAAUAAAGGAGUACUUGACUAGAGUUAUAUGUGAGAAGACCGUACUUGAGGUGGAGAGAUUAUAUUCUGUGAUACCAAAAGGACUGAUAAAGGCGAAGGCUGUCUUUUAUGUAAUAACUGACGUUGGAGGACGAAGGCAUAGAGAACUAACAGGAUUUGACACCCUAGUAGUCUUUGCAGACAAUGAUGAAUGCCAUGGACUAGUCGCUAAAAUAGGAACUCGUGUCCUAUAAGGCAACACUUUAGAGUGUAGCACAAUUUAGGAUGCGAGUGU